rnacentral:lncRNA from 1 species
GUCAGUAAUUUCUCCCCUAGCAAGAAUGAGGAAGAUGAAGAGCUCGGGUAUCUGAGGGCUGGUGUGUCUGCAUGCGUGUGUGUUUUGGGGGCCGACUGAAGGAAGAGAAGGCUGGAGAGAGGGAACAUGGGUCUGAGGGCACAUCGCUAAGGGGUCAAGAGGCCUAAAGGAGGAGUCUAAGGCUCUCCAUCGAACUUGGACUUGGUCUACAUUAGACUUUAACCUCCAUGAGGCUUGGACUUUCAGGCUUCCUCCCUCACACCGCGGGCAGGUGAGGCGUCUGCUACAGGCCUGGUCUCGCAGAGGGGGCCCAGCGCCCCCCGCCGCCGCCUUCUCCUGGAGUCUGUGUGACAGAAUGGGACCUGUGGGAAAGCAGCACGUCAGCACCCAGCCCCGCUUGCGCGCCAGCAGCUAAUUAAAGCCAGGAAGGUGAUGGCGAUUUUCAACUCAUUCCCGUUACAAACAGCCGACCUUCCUACCGAGUUCAAGUACCUUCUGCCUGGCCUGGAAGAACAAUAUCUCUCUGUCUCCCUCUUCCACUGGCCCUCACCUGCCUUCCCCUGAACAUGCAUUUUGCCUGACAGGAGACAGAGGCAGUUGAGAUGGAGUCUUGCUAUAUGGCCCAGCUGGUAAUGCCUAGAUUCUUGAGUCCCUCCCUGGCUCAUCCCUGGGAGCAGCACUGAACCCCUUGUCUGACACCUGUCUGGAAAUGGAGCCUGCACAUUGACCCUAGAUGCUUGCAGCUUGGUCCAGGAGGCCAGCAGGACCAGAGAGAAGACCACAGCGACACAUGGGGAUGGCUGUCCCACAGGCAGAAAUGAGCAGCCGGGAGGAAGCCCAGGCAGCCAGCCACCCAGCUCCCUCCACAUCGUGGCCCUAGAACGGAGUCUUGAAGAAUAAGAAGCCACAGCUUGUCAGGGAAUCAGGCUGGAAAAAUGUUAUGAGACUGAGUAAGACCAGAGUUUCUGGGUCAUUGGUGAGACUGGAUUUCAUAGAAGAGUCUUUGCUACAGCAAAACCUCUCUUCAAGCAAUACACUAUUCAAGCUGCUGGAGGCUAGAUUGACCAGAAAAAUGGGGCCAAUAUCAUGAUUCCUCAGCAGUGCCUGGAGAAGACCAGGAGAGGAAGCAGAAGACCCUCCUCAAAGAAGCAGCCUUCACCUCCAGACCUCCCAGCGGGACUUAGACAAUGGGGUUAGGCAGUCACAUGUCUGCACGUGGAAACUUUCUGGGACUGUGCUUGGAUCCUGGCUCUGCCUUUUACUAGCCAUGUGACCUUGGGAAAAUCACUUGACUUCUCCGUGCAGGAUUCCUCAUCUGUAAAAAUGGUCUAAGAUUAGGAGCCACCUCAAGGUUGUUGUAGGAAUUAAAUUAAUUCAUGUUUAUAAAGUGCUUUGAACAGCGUUUGGCACAUGGUAAGUGCUAUGUGGUAAGUGCUGUCUAUUGAUUACAUAAAUAAAAGUGAUCACCAUUAGACUUUC